rnacentral:rRNA from 1 species
UACGAAGGGAGCUAGCGUUGCUCGGAAUCACUGGGCGUAAGGCGCACGUAGGCGGCUUUCUAAGUCAGGGGUGAAAUCCUGGAGCUCAACUCCAGAACUGCCUUUGAUACUGGAGGGCUUGAGUCCGGAAGAGGUGAGUGGAACUCCGAGUGUAGAGGUGAAAUUCGUAGAUAUUCGGAAGAACACCAGUGGCGAAGGCGGCUCACUGGUCCGGUACUGACGCUGAUGUGCGAAAGCGUGGGGAGCAAACAGG